GAUGAACGCUGGCGGCGUGCCUAAUACAUGCAAGUCGAGCGGUAACACUUCGGGUGACGAGCGGCGGACGGCUGAGUAACACGUAGGAACGUACCCCAACCUGAGGGAUAAGCACCGGAAACGUUGUCUAAUACCGCAUUUGGUCUUGGGAUUAAGGCUUCGGCGGCUUGGGAACGGCCUGCGCAUGAUUAGCUUGUUGGUGAGGUAAUAGCUCACCAAGGCGACGAUCAUUAGCUGGUCUAAGAGGAUGAUCAGCCAGACUGGGACUGAGAACGGCCCAGACUCCUACGGGAGGCAGCAGUAGGGAAUCUUCCACAAUGGGCGAAAGCCUGAUGGAGCAACGCCGCGUGCAGGAUGAAGGCCUUCGGGUCGUAAACUGCUUUUAUUGGUGACGAUUAUGACGGUAGCCAAUGAAUAAGGAUCGGCUAACUCCGUGCCAGCCGCCGCGGUAA
rnacentral:rRNA from 1 species